rnacentral:rRNA from 1 species
GGGAAAUCCAGGCGAGCAUGAGAGGUAAAAGGGAAGAGGGAAGGGUUAAGCAGAAUUGCGUGGCGGAAAGCGAAGUUAGAGGGUGGUAGAAGUCAGAGGUUAAAGCACCGGGCUGAAACUGGGAACAGAACCUGAUACUGGAAGAGUAGAAUGUGGUAUAGGAGAGUGGAAUGGCCGGUGUAGCGGUGAAAUGCAUAGAGAUCGGAAGGAACAGCAGUGGCGAAGGCGGCUCUCUGGACCAACAGUGACGCUGAGGUGCGAAAACGUGGGUAGCAAACAGGAUUAGAUACCCCAGUAGUC